GGAGUUGCCAUAGACACAGUUGUUUCUACUUCUAGUGCUCAUUCUUCUGACUGUUGGAGUUGCUGUGGAAUGGAGCCACUGGCGGGGAGUUGCUGCUGCUGGAACCACCAGGAAGGAUUGCUGGGAAUCACUGCUGCCCUGUUUUCGCUCUAAUUAGGAUUAACAUCCAUUGGCCUGGGUUAGCCUUUUCCCCUUAUUUCUGCUCCAAUUGCACGCCCUAUUCUGCCAAUUUCUUAUUAAACUGCUUGUUCUUGUUUUAAUUCAACUUUGGCCUGUGCUCCGUUUUAAAUUACCAGAGCUGUUUCUGCCUUUCGAUUCCGUUGAAUUCAAAAUCUUCAUUUCACUGCAACCAUGGUCAUUGUUGUGGAAGCUAAUGCUACUGUUGUCCCAGUUGUGCUGAGAUGCAGUGCCGCUGCUUUCUUGGCUGAAACGGUUGCGUGACUAAUAGGGGUCUAGCCAGCUGUCUCGCCGCAAUUCUGUCUCCGGUUUCUUGUAAUUGCAACAUCGAGUGACACAGGUUUGAAGACAUAAUUUGAAGCUGCAGGCGAUUAGUAGGCUUUCUUUACGGUUUUAAUAGCUUUCAUAGAGUCCCCUCGCUCUUGUCAUUUGAGGUUUUAUUUUAACAGAGGAGUAGGUGUUGUAUUUGGGUUUAUAUGACUUCUUAUGUAUAAGAAUUACUAUUAAUAAUACUUAUAUGAUUGUUAUUAUUAUUUACAAUGCUUAUCUUUGAUACAUGUCUUGAAUGAAUAAAAA